AAGAAAAUGGCAGAGUGGUUAUGUAUUUGGCUUGAAACCAGAUGAUGGGGGUUCAAUUCCCUCUUUUCUUG
rnacentral:tRNA from 1 species